GACGAACGCUGGCGGCGUGCCUAAUACAUGCAAGUAGAACGCACAGUUUAUACCGUAGCUUGCUACACCAUAGACUGUGAGUUGCGAACGGGUGAGUAACGCGUAGGUAACCUGCCUGGUAGCGGGGGAUAACUAUUGGAAACGAUAGCUAAUACCGCAUAAUAUUAAUUAUUGCAUGAUAAUUAAUUGAAAGGUGCAAUUGCACCACUACCAGAUGGACCCGCGUUGUAUUAGCUAGUAGGUGAGGUAACGGCUCACCUAGGCGACGAUACAUAGCCGACCUGAGAGGGUGAUCGGCCACACUGGGACUGAGACACGGCCCAGACUCCUACGGGAGGCAGCAGUAGGGAAUCUUCGGCAAUGGACGAAAGUCUGACCGAGCAACGCCGCGUGAGUGAAGAAGGUUGUCGGAUCGUAAAGCUCUGUUGUAAGAGAAGAACGGGUGUGAGAGUGGAAAGUUCACACUGUGACGGUAGCUUACCAGAAAGGGACGGCUAACUACGUG
rnacentral:rRNA from 1 species